UAAGCAACACCGCUGAGGCUAAAGCUAAAGUUAACGAUAGCGGUUAAAUUUGAGUUAAGAAACACAAGUGGACAGACAGCUUCGAAAUAAACCCAGGAGCAGGACGUUUCUCCUCAGUGGUUUUGGGGUAAUGUACCAGGUUCCAGUUCAUCCUACAUGUUUGAUACACUAUCCAGGCCUGGAGCCCGACUGUUCGUACACCCCACAGAACAUCUAACAUUUACAGGUGUGUGGAAUACAACUCGUACCAUUGCUUACCUGUUCUGACCUGACGUGCUGAUGUAUUGCGGUAAGCGAGUUGUGUCAUUUCCGGUGUUUCUGUGACAGCGUCUCUGUACUGCUCUGGUGAA